rnacentral:rRNA from 1 species
ACUCAAAGGAAUAGACGGGGACCCGCACAAGCAGCGGAGCAUGUGGUUUAAUUCGAAGCAACGCGAAGAACCUUACCAAGGCUUGACAUCCCUUGACCGUCAUGGAAACAUGGCUUCCCUUCGGGGCAAGGAGACAGGUGGUGCAUGGUUGUCGUCAGCUCGUGUCGUGAGAUGUUGGGUUAAGUCCCGCAACGAGCGCAACCCUUGUCAUUAGUUGCCAGCGCGUGAUGGCGGGAACUCUAAUGAGACUGCCGGGGAUAACUCGGAGGAAGGUGGGGACGACGUCAAAUCAUCAUGCCCCUUAUGUCUUGGGCUACACACGUGCUACAAUGGCCGGUACAGAGGGCAGCGAAACCGUAAGGCGGAGCGAAUCCCAAAAAGCCGGUCUCAGUUCGGAUCGUGGGCUGCAACCCGCCCACGUGAAGCCGGAGUUGCUAGUAAUCGCGAAUCAGCAUGUCGCGGUGAAUGCGUUCCCGGGUCUUGUACACACCGCCCGU